UACGUAGGGCGCAAGCGUUGUCCGGAAUUAUUGGGCGUAAAGAGCUCGUAGGCGGCUUGUCACGUCGAUUGUGAAAGCCCGAGGCUUAACCUCGGGUCUGCAGUCGAUACGGGCUAGCUAGAGUGUGGUAGGGGAGAUCGGAAUUCCUGGUGUAGCGGUGAAAUGCGCAGAUAUCAGGAGGAACACCGGUGGCGAAGGCGGAUCUCUGGGCCAUUACUGACGCUGAGGAGCGAAAGCGUGGGGAGCGAACGGG
rnacentral:rRNA from 1 species